GACGAACGCUGGCGGCGUGCUUAACACAUGCAAGUCGAACGGAAAGGCCCCUUUGUGGGUACUCGAGUGGCGGACGGGUGAGUAACACGUAAGUAACCUUCCCUUGACUUCGGGAUAACUUCAGGAAACUGGGGCCAAUACCGGUUCGGAAUCCUUUCUGCAUGGUGGGGGUUGGAAAGCUUCGGCGGUUUUGGAUGGACUCGCGGGUUAUCAGCUUGUUGGUGGGGUAGUGGGUUACCAAGGCUUUUACGGGUAGCCGGACUGAGAGGGCGACCGGCCACAUUGGGACUUAGGUGCGGCACAGGUUGCUACGGGAGGCAGCAGUGGGGAAUAUUGCACGAUGGGCGGAGGCCGGAUGAAGAAACGCCGCGGGCGGGAUGACGGUCUUCGGGUUGUAAACCGCUUUCAGAAGGGACGAAGCUUGUGGUGACGGUACCUGAAGAAGAAGCAACGGCUAACUACGUG
rnacentral:rRNA from 1 species